rnacentral:RNase_P_RNA from 1 species
UGAGGGAAGGUAGUUGCGGAGGAAGUGAAAGCUGACUCUGAGGAAAGUCCGGGCUCCCGAAAGACCAGACUUGCUGGAUAACGCCCAGUGCGAGCGAUCGUGAGGAUAGUGCCACAGAAAGAUACCGCCAAUUAGUCAUUUGUCAAUAGUCAUUUGUCAACAAAACAAAGGAAUAUUGACCUAGAACCAAGGACUAAAUUGGUAAGGGUGCAAAGGUGCGGUAAGAGCGCACCAGCAGCAUCGAGAGGUGCUGGCUCGGUAAACCCCGGUGGGGAGCAAGGUCGUAGGAACUAAGGUUGGUCUUUUUCCAGUUCCGCUCAAAAGAACCGCUAGAGNUACAAUCGGUUUUUGCGUAAUUUAUGGUUGUUCUUGGUAACUUUUUAUACCAAAAUGUCCCAAAUCGGUUU